GCUAAAAAUCCUAAAAUGCUCUCUUCGUCUCUCUAGCCCGAUUUCUGACUCUCCUCGAGACUAGGGUUUAUGUGCCAACGAACAAUUGCAGAAUUUACGAAGCUCCCAACUAUUUUCAUCUAACUUGGAAGCGCUCCCUCGUAAUCUCCUUACAUUUUCAUCGACAUGGUUGAAAGGAAGCUCUACAAAACCAAGCUCUGCGUGCUCUAUCAGAAAGGCCACUGCCACCGCCAAAGCUGCUCCUUUGCCCACGGCGACGCCGAGCUCCGCCGCUUCUCCGCUCCCUUCGAUGGAAGGCGGGACUAUCGAGGUGAUUUGAGAGAAAAGCUAGAUAGAAGGCGUUCUCCAGUGCAUAGAUACUCUCCUAAACGAGAUUCAAGUGGGAGACAUGCAUCCCAUGGUGACAGUCCUUCUGGGUCUCUUGGGAAAAGGAGAAAACACCAAAAGAGGCAGCAUCCAGAUGGCCAGAGUGACUUCUCUGAAAGUCUCCAAACAUCAAAUGGGACUGAAGAUCUUUUGAAGAACAAGAAGUGCAUAUCUGCUGAUUCUAAAGAUGCCCUUAAGAUAAGGCAAUUGCAAUCUGAAAUCAAGAUGCUGGAUGACCGCAAAAGAGAAUUGGAGGUUUACCUGGAAGAUAGAUCUCGAGAUGCAGACAAUCUGACCUUAAAAGUUCAAGAGCUUGAAAUGCAGUUGUUCAAGGAAAAAGAAGAAUGUAAAAGGAUUACAUCAAAAAUUAAGAAGUUCACUGAGGCACAUAAGCGUCUCUCUCGUUUACAAGAUGAAGUCAAGAGGUCAGAUGCUCAACUUCAAAAGCUUGGUGAAAAACUUUGCUCAAAUGCUGGUGCAAGUGGAGAUGAUUUAAGCAUGAACAUAAUGACUGAUGGAGAAGCUGUAGGUAUUUAUCCUACUACCUAUGGUGGGAUGAAAAAGAACAUGUCCCCACACAAGAAAAGGUCACGAGUGAGCUUGGGAGCUGUGGAAGCACCAGAUCAAGGUAAUGCAUCAAAAGGAGGAGCUGGCAUGGAAAAGAUAAGAUUGGAAAAUCUAUCUCGAAGAAAUGUGCUUCAGAUUCGAUCUAGUAAUGACAAGAAAGUUAAAGCAGAUAUCAAUACGAAAAAUGGUUAUCAGGUUACAGCAAAUGAAGACAGGCCUAAAAAGGGGAUAGAUCAUUCUACUAACACAACAUUGGUGGAAAAGCCCAAGGUUUUCUCGGAUGCCUGCCUUUUGUUGCCUCCAACAGGCUUGGCAGCUCAUGCAACAGAUGAAGAUGUUGAAAUUGUUGAAAUGGAGGAAAAGCGUGAGAUGUUUGGAAAUUCUGCUGCAGUAUCUGGAAAGGAAGCUGUUUCUAAUGUCACAAAGUUUCCUUUUCUACCACCCCCACCACCGCCCCCGAUCUCUAAAGAUGCAUAUUCACAGCUCAAGGGUGAAGAUGAGAAUGUGGACAUAGAUGGGGUUGACGAAGAGACAGUGGAGGUGGAUAUUGUUUAACAUUUGCUUCCCUAACUAUAUGAUACUGCAAGCUGUAGUAUUUUGGUAUAUAUUCUUGUGCAUCAUCUCAUUUUAGGACUAGGGAGCACUGAGCUACUAUACAAUUCUAUGUACGAAUGAUAGGCACGGCAGGCUGGAGAAGGGGGAGGGAUAGAGUUCUGUAUAGCAGGUAUAUUAAUCCCUAACAAGUUUGCUAUGCUUCAUUUUGAGGGCAAGGAUUUAUCCGCUUUCUGUAGUGUAUGGAAUUCUCAUGUCUCAUAUACACGUCGAUGAACUUCUAGUUACAAUCUGGUGAACAAUGCACUCCAUUUUCCCAUUUACUCUUUUGGUAUCUAUGAGUUCCUCUGUUCUAAUUUU